GCCCGAGUGGCUCAGUGGAUAGAGUGUUGGCCUGUGGACCGAAGGAUCACAGGUUCGAUUCAGGUCAAGGGCA
rfam:Myotis lucifugus cont2.19942, whole genome shotgun sequence.